rnacentral:rRNA from 1 species
GAUGAACGCUGGCGGCGUGCCUAAUACAUGCAAGUCGAGCGAACGGACGAGAAGCUUGCUUCUCUGAUGUUAGCGGCGGACGGGUGAGUAACACGUGGAUAACCUACCUAUAAGACUGGGAUAACUUCGGGAAACCGGAGCUAUUACCGGAUGAUAUCUUGAACCGCAUGGUUCAAAAGUGAAAGACGGUCUUGCUGUCACUUAUAGAUGGAUCCGCGCUGCAUUAGCUAGUUGGUAAGGUAACGGCUUACCAAGGCAACGAUGCAUAGCCGACCUGAGAGGGUGAUCGGCCACACUGGAACUGAGACACGGUCCAGACUCCUACGGGAGGCAGCAGUAGGGAAUCUUCCGCAAUGGGCGAAAGCCUGACGGAGCAACGCCGCGUGAGUGAUGAAGGUCUUCGGAUCGUAAAACUCUGUUAUUAGGGAAGAACAUAUGUGUAAGUAACUGUGCACAUCUUGACGGUACCUAAUCAGAAAGCCACGGCUAACUACGUG